rnacentral:rRNA from 1 species
AGUGAACGCUGGCGGUAGGCCUAACACAUGCAAGUCGAACGGCAGCACAGUAAGAGCUUGCUCUUACGGGUGGCGAGUGGCGGACGGGUGAGGAAUACAUCGGAAUCUACUUUUUCGUGGGGGAUAACGUAGGGAAACUUACGCUAAUACCGCAUACGACCUACGGGUGAAAGCAGUGGAACUUCUGACCUUGCGCGAUUGGAUGAGCGGAUGUCGGAUUAGUUAGUUGGCGGGGUAAAGGCCCACUAAGUCGACUAUCCGUAGCUGGUGUGAGAGACUGGUCGGCCACAUUGGAAGGUGGACAGGGACAAUACGACUAAGGGACGCCGCAGUGGGGAAUAUUGGACAAUGGGCGCAAGCCUGAUCCAGCCAUACCGCGUGGGUGAAGAAGGCCUUCGGGUUGUAAAGCCCUUUUGUUGGGAAAGAAAAGCAGCAGGUUAAUACCCCGCUGUUCUGACGGUACCCAAAGAAUAAGCACCGGCUAACUUCGUG